rnacentral:rRNA from 1 species
CUCCUCAACUCGGUGCCGUCAGCGUCCACGGUCUACUGGCUAGCCGUGUUUGCCUUGCCAUCUUCGGUGCGCAAGGAAAUCGAUCGGUUGCGCCGUGCAUGGCUAUGGCAUGGUGAGGAAACGUACCAUGGGGGGCACUGCAAAGUGGCAUGGGGGCGCGUGUGCCGACCACGGGAGUUGGGUGGUCUGGGCAUCAUCGACUUGGACCGGUUUCGGGUGGCCCUUCGCCUGCGAUGGCUCUGA